UACAGAGGGUGCAAGCGUUGUUCGGAAUUAUUGGGCGUAAAGCGCGUGUAGGCGGCUUUGCAAGUCGGGUGUGAAAGCCCCGGGCUCAACCUGGGAAUUGCAUUCGAGACUGAAUAGCUAGGGUACGGUAGAGGGAAGCGGAAUUUCCGGUGUAGCGGUGAAAUGCGUAGAUAUCGGAAGGAACAUCAGUGGCGAAAGCGGCUUCCUGGACCAGCACCGACGUUCAGGCACGAAAGCGUGGGGAGCAAACAGG
rnacentral:rRNA from 1 species